rnacentral:rRNA from 1 species
AUUGAACGCUGGCGGCAGGCCUAACACAUGCAAGUCGAGCGGAUGAAGGGAGCUUGCUCCUGGAUUCAGCGGCGGACGGGUGUGUAAUGCCUAGGAAUCUGCCUGGUAGUGUGGGAUAACGUCCGGAAACGGGCGCUAAUACCGCCUACGUCCUGAGGGAGAAAGUGGGGGAUCUUCGGACCUCACGCUAUCAGAUGAGCCUAGGUCGGAUUAGCUAGUUGGUGGGGUAACGGCCUACCAAGGCGACGAUCCGUAACUGGUCUGAGAGGAUGAUCAGUCACACUGGAACUGAGACACGGUCCAGACUCCUACGGGAGGCAGCAGUGGGGAAUAUUGGACCAUGGGCGAAAGCCUGAUCCAGCCAUGCCGCGUGUGUGAAGAAGGUCUUCGGAUUGUAAAGCACUUUACGUUGGGAGGAAGGGCAGUAAGUUACUACUUGGCUGUUUUGACCUUACCAACAGAAGAAGCACCGGCUAACUUCGUG